rnacentral:rRNA from 1 species
UAUCUCUGUAGAGUCUGCAUAUCAAUAAGCGGAGGAAAAGAAACUAACUAGGAUUCCCUUAGUAACGGCGAGUGAAGCGGGAAGAGCUCAAAUUUGAAAUCUUCAAGGUUUUACCUUGACGAAUUGUAGUUUAAAGAAGUGUUUUCUGUUGAGUUUCGGUAAAAGUUCUUUGGAAUAGGACAUCAUAGAGGGUGAGAAUCCCGUAUUUGACCAUUAUUUUCAGCUUUGUGAUACACUUUCAAAGAGUCGGAUUGUUUGGGAAUGCAGUCCAAAAUGGGUGGUAAAUUUCAUCUAAAGCUAAAUACUUGGCGAGAGACCGAUAGCGAACAAGUACCGUGAGGGAAAGAUGAAAAGAACUUUGAAAAGAGAGUUAAACAGUACGUGAAAUUGUCAAAAGGGAAGCGUUUGACACCAGUGUUGUUUUCUCGAAAAUCAAUUAAAAAUGGCUUGAUUUUGUGUUGUAUUGACCUUAAAAGCUUUCUUCACUUUUUUCAUGUCUUUUUUAAUGCACUUUUCGUUUAACAAGUCAACAUCAGUUUCUUUUGUUGUAAAAAGGUCAUUGGAAGGUGGCUUUCUUUUCGGAGAAAGUGUUUAUAGCCUUUGACUUCUGCAAUCGGAGAGACUGAGGUCUGCAGCGUAGAUCCUUCUGGAUUAGAUUCAUUUGUGCUAAGUUACAACCGUUUAUAGACAACUUGUUGACUAUAUUCGAUCCUGUAGCUUACUCGCUUAUGUAAUUUUACCUACGCUUAGGAUGUUGAUAUGCAUGACUGAUAU